rnacentral:rRNA from 1 species
UCCAGACUCCUACGGGAGGCAGCAGUGGGGAAUAUUGGGCAAUGGGCGCAAGCCUGACCCAGCAACGCCGCGUGAAGGAAGAAGGCUUUCGGGUUGUAAACUUCUUUUAUGAGGGACGAAAGAAAUGGCGGUACCUCAUGAAUAAGCCACGGCUAACUACGUGCCAGCAGCCGCGGUAAUACGUAGGUGGCAAGCGUUAUCCGGAUUUACUGGGUGUAAAGGGCGUGUAGGCGGGACCGCAAGUCAGAUGUGAAAAUUAUUGGCUCAACCCAUAACCUGCAUUUGAAACUGUAGUUCUUGAGUGAUGGAGAGGCAGGCGGAAUUCCGUGUGUAGCGGUGAAAUGCGUAGAUAUUAGGAGGAACACCGGUGGCGAAGGCGGCUUACUGGACUGUAACUGACGUUGAGGCUCGAAAGCGUGGGGAGCAAACAGGAUUAGAUACCCGGGUAAA